UACAGAGGGUGCAAGCGUUAAUCGGAAUUACUGGGCGUAAAGCGCGCGUAGGCGGCUAAGUAAGUCGGGUGUGAAAGCCCCGGGCUCAACCUGGGAACUGCAUCCGAUACUGUUUAGCUAGAGUAUGAGAGAGGGAGGUAGAAUUCCACGUGUAGCGGUGAAAUGCGUAGAUAUGUGGAGGAAUACCGGUGGCGAAGGCGGCCUCCUGGCUCAAUACUGACGCUGAGGUGCGAAAGCGUGGGGAGCAAACAGG
rnacentral:rRNA from 1 species